rnacentral:lncRNA from 1 species
CUACUUACCUCUCGAUAUACAUAUCUGUCAUUGACAGAGACACGCUUUGCCGAUAUGUGUUAGAUGUCACGAAGGAGCGGAUUGGAGGCUGUACUCCACCACCUUUGAAUCUAACUGACCACCAUGGUUGUCCUCCUCUAAUACCAACUAAUUAGCUCGAAGCCGCAAUCUCACGUAGAUAUACCCUACCAAAUGGUCUGUAACUAAGCUACC